UACAGAGGGGGCAAGCGUUGUUCGGAAUUACUGGGCGUAAAGGGCGCGUAGGCGGCCUGUUAAGUCGAACGUGAAAUCCCUGGGCUCAACCCAGGAACUGCGUCCGAUACUGGCAGGCUUGAAUUCGGGAGAGGGAUGCGGAAUUCCAGGUGUAGCGGUGAAAUGCGUAGAUAUCUGGAGGAACACCGGUGGCGAAGGCGGCAUCCUGGACCGAUAUUGGCGCUGAGGCGCGAAAGCCAGGGGAGCAAACGGG
rnacentral:rRNA from 1 species